rnacentral:rRNA from 1 species
AAAAGUAAACAAGGGCGCAUGGGGGAUGCCUUAGGCUCUCGAAGGCGAAGAAGGACGUGAUAAGCUGCGAAAAGCUGCGGUAAGGAGCAAAUAUCCUUAGACCCGCAGAUCUCCGAAUGGGGCAACCCAGUAUCCGAAGAGGAUACUACACUGUGUAUAGCGGUGGGCAAACCGGGGGAACUGAAACAUCUAAGUACCCCGAGGAAAAGAAAACAAAAGUGAUUCCCUGAGUAGCGGCGAGCGAACGGGGAGCAGCCCAAACCGGAAAUGUCGAGGCAUAUUCCGGGGUUGUAGGACUGAGAGAUGGCAUCAAGACAAGGAAGUGGAACGGACUGGAACGUCCGGUCGCAGAAGGUGACAACCCUGUACACGAAUCUUUAUUUUGAGCCUAUCAGACUCCUGAGUAGUGCGGGACACGAGAAAUCCUGUAUGAAUCGACGGGGACCAUCCCGUAAGGCUAAAUACUUCCGAGAGACCGAUAGCGAACCAGUACCGUGAGGGAAAGGUGAAAAGAACCUCGCACAGAGGAGUGAAACAGACCCUGAAACCAUGCGCCUGCAAGCGGUCGGAGCUGGCAACAGUGACGGCGUGCCUUUUGCAUAAUGAACCUACGAGUUACUUUUGUUGGCAAGGUUAAGCGUAAAUAUAUGCGGAGCCGAAGCGAAAGCGAGUCUUAACAGGGCGUUUAAGUCAGCAGGAGUAGACGCGAAACCAAGUGAUCUACCCUUGAGCAGGCUGAAGGUUGGGUAACACCAAUUGGAGGGCCGCACCGAUAAGCGUUGAAAAGCUUCCGGAUGACUUGAGGGUAGGGGUGAAAGGCUAAUCAAACUUGGAGAUAGCUCGUACUCCCCGAAAUGCAUUUAGGUGCAGCCUCGGUAUAUACGUUGUGUCAGGUAGAGCGACUGAUUGGAUGCGAGGGCUUCGCCGCCUAUCAAGUCCAGAUAAACUCCGAAUGGGCACAAUGAUUAACCGGGAGUGAGGGCGCGGGUGCUAAGGUCCGUGUCCGAGAGGGAAAGAACCCGGACCACCGGCUAAGGUCCCCAAAUACAUGUUAAGUUGAGUUAACGAAGUGUCUCCGCCCAGACAGCUAGGAUGUUGGCUUGGAAGCAGCCAUUCAUUUAAAGAGUGCGUAACAGCUCACUAGUCGAGUGGGGAUGCGUGGAUAAUAAUCGGGCAUAAAACAUGUUACCGAAGCCGUGGGAUUGAAAUAAUAUCGGUAGGGGAGCAUUCUGUCGGCGUAGAAGGUGCAGCGAGAGCUGUACUGGAGUUUACAGAAAAGCAAAUGUAGGUAUGAGUAACGAUAAAGGGGGUGGGAAACCCCCUCGCCGAAAGACUAAGGUUUCCUGAUCAACGCUAAUCGGAUCAGGGUAAGUCGGGCCCUAAGGCAAUGCCGAGCGGCUAGGCCGAUGGACGAACCGGUUAAUAUUCCGGUACUAUUUGCAGGAGUGAUGCGGCGACGCAGGAGUGACACUGUAGCCGGCUGACGGAAUAGCCGGUUUAAGGGAGUAGGUAUUGAUUCCGGCAGGCAAAUCCGCCGGGAGAGCCGAACCUGAAAGUAUGAGGAGUCUUCGGGCGAAUCAAUUACAGGUAAUCAGACUGCCGAGAAAACCCGCUAAACAUAUUUUGCAAGUACCCGUACUAAAACGGACACACGUAGUUGGGUUGAGUAUACUGAGGCGCUCGGGAGAUUCACAGUUAAGGAAUUAGGCAAAAUGACCCUGUAACUUCGGGAUAAAGGGUGCCACCUGCGAGGGUGGCCGCAGAGAAAAGAAGAAGGCAACUGUUUAACAAAAACACAAGGCUGUGCCAAUAAGCAAUUAGACGUAUACAGCCUGACACCUGCCCGGUGCCGGAAGGUUAAGAGGAGAUGUCAUGGGUAACCGGAAGCAUUGAAUUGAAGCCCCGGUAAACGGCGGCCGUAACUAUAACGGUCCUAAGGUAGCGAAAUUCCUUGUCGGGUAAGUUCCGACCUGCACGAAUG